GAUGAACGCUGGCGGCGUGCCUAAUACAUGCAAGUCGAGCGAACGGACGAGAAGCUUGCUUCUCUGAUGUUAGCGGCGGACGGGUGAGUAACACGUGGAUAACCUACCUAUAAGACUGGGAUAACUUCGGGAAACCGUAGCUAAUACCGGAUAAUAUUUUGAACCGCAUGGUUCAAAAGUGAAAGACGGUCUUGCUGUCACUUAUAGAUGGAUCCGCGCUGCAUUAGCUAGUUGGUAAGGUAACGGCUUACCAAGGCAACGAUGCAUAGCCGACCUGAGAGGGUGAUCGGCCACACUGGAACUGAGACACGGUCCAGACUCCUACGGGAGGCAGCAGUAGGGAAUCUUCCGCCAUGGGCGAAAGCAUGACGGAGCAACGCCGCGUGAGUGAUGAAGGUCUUCGGAUCGUAAAACUCUGUUAUUAGGGAAGAACAUAUGCGUAAGUAACUGUGCACAUCUUGACGGUACCUAAUCAGAAAGCCACGGCUAACUACGUG
rnacentral:rRNA from 1 species